rnacentral:rRNA from 1 species
GGCUCUUGGGUCGUAAACCUCUUUUCUCAGGGAAGAAUCAAAUGACGGUACCUGAGGAAUAAGCAUCGGCUAACUCCGUGCCAGCAGCCGCGGUAAUACGGAGGAUGCAAGCGUUAUCCGGAAUGAUUGGGCGUAAAGCGUCCGCAGGUGGCAAUGUAAGUCUGCUGUUAAAGAGUGAGGCUCAACCUCAUAAGAGCAGUGGAAACUACAUAGCUAGAGUACGUUCGGGGCAGAGGGAAUUCCUGGUGUAGCGGUGAAAUGCGUAGAGAUCAGGAAGAACACCGGUGGCGAAGGCGCUCUGCUAGGCCGUAACUGACACUGAGGGACGAAAGCUAGGGGAGCGAAUGGGAUUAGAUACCCCAGUAGUCCUAGCCGUAAACGAUGGAUACUAGGCGUGGCUUGUAUCGACCCGAGCCGUGCCGUAGCUAACGCGUUAAGUAUCCCGCCUGGGGAGUACGCCGGCAACGGUGAAACUCAAAGGAAUUGACGGGGGCCCGCACAAGCGGUGGAGUAUGUGGUUUAAUUCGAUGCAACGCGAAGAACCUUACCAAGGCUUGACAUGUCGCGAAUCUUAAUGAAAGUUGAGAGUGCCUUCGGGAGCGCGAACACAGGUGGUGCAUGGCUGUCGUCAGCUCGUGUCGUGAGAUGUUGGGUUAAGUCCCGCAACGAGCGCAACCCUCGUUUUUAGUUGCCAGCAUUAAGUUGGGCACUCUAGAGAGACUGCCGGUGACAAACCGGAGGAAGGUGGGGAUGACGUCAAGUCAGCAUGCCCCUUACGCCUUGGGCUACACACGUACUACAAUGCUCCGGACAGAGGGCAGCAAGAUAGCGAUGUCAAGCAAAUCCCGGAAACCGGAGCUCAGUUCAGAUCGCAGGCUGCAACUCGCCUGCGUGAAGGAGGAAUCGCUAGUAAU